GUUGAAGGAAGGACAUGGCAUCUAGGCUUAGAGCCACUGAAUGUAAGGAUUGGGAAUGGCUAGAAAAUGCAACAGUACUGUGUCAACGUCACUCAUCAACAUGUUACUUUCUGGUUCCCCAACAACAUGUUCCAGUGAUUCUUCAUCAAAUUUAGACACACAGGUAUUUCCAAUAUUUUAGAGCUACCUAGAAGAUCGAUAGGAAGAGCAAAAACACAAGUCUUGAAGAGAAAGAGGGGCAAGAAGUCAAAGUCCAGGUCAUGGUUAUUCUGUCUGUGCUCAAAUAGUAAUAGUGGCAGUAACCCUGAUGCUGAGAACAAUCCUCCAUCCCUUGGUCAAUUUCUUGCACUAGAAAGAAGAGCUUCUAAUGAAAAUAGAAAGAACCAAAUCAUAUCCCUCUUAAUUAUGUGCCCUGAUAAUGAGCUUGCAUUGACUCAAACCAUUGAAGAAGCACGCUCAUAUAUAUUAUUUGUGAAUGGCACUAUUGAUCCAUCUCAGUCCAUCAGUUCAAGGCAGAAUCCACAGAGAGAACACAUGCAGGGCAUCAGGGUACGACAAUACAUAGUUUGACUCACUUGCUGAUAUAUGUCUCUAAUUGUGUGCACAAGUUUCUCGUGGUUAACUAAAGAUUUGCACAUAUAUCUUAUAUGUUUGUGUGGACAAGCUUGUAAGGGCAUGUUUGGUUUUGAGUUGGGAGAUUUGAGCUUUUAAUGUUUUCUUUUCAAUAUUCUCA